rnacentral:misc_RNA from 1 species
AAAUUAAAACCAAUUCCCAAAAUAUUUUUUAUACAGGCCUGCAGAGCUGAAGAAAAUAGCACAACUGAUGUAGAUACAGGCAUUCGUGUUGGUUACAGACAAGAAAAUGAGUUUCAGUAUCAAGGUUAUUCUGCUGGGUUCAGCUAUCGCAUUGGAAGUCAUGUAUGGAAAGUUCUACAGAUGACACUAAAAGAGAUUUUAGCACAAGUACCUGUAAUUGGACCUGUGAAUCUGCUGCAUUGGUUGAAAGAAACAAACAACAGACUGGCCAAAUCAGAGGAAUAUGAGAUUGAUGAUAUCGAAUACAAACCUCUGCUCAGUAUCUGCCACACACUGACAAGGAAUAUUAUUUUUGAUACAAACAACAACUAAAGAAAUAUCAACACCCACCUUUGGUCUAUUUUUUAUAGUCAUGAAUUAAACAAAAUCACUUAUCUCUAGAAUAUGUUUUCUUAAACUUAAUUCAGAUUUUGAACUUAUAUUUGAUUAUCGCCUGUGUACUAUUAUCAAUAUGAAAUGUUUUUUAAACCAUGCAUUAAAUGGACAUGAUCACAGUUUGUGCUGAAAAUGUUAUAUUUCCUGUUUGAAUGUCAACAGUACUUUAUGAAUUUGUUUCCAGUAAUCAACAUAAAUUUGAUCAUCUGUCGAUGGAGUUAUAAGCGAGAUAUAGUGGUCAUAAUUCUUUGUUAUGCGAAAAUAGGUUGGAUUUGCUAUAGUUUCGUUUUCAUAUGUUCAUAAUGGUAAAAACCUCAUUUAAUUUGAGUAAGGAUCUUCUUGCAAGUUAAUUAUUAAUAUUAACACUAAUAAAAAAAGAUAUACAUGUAUAAUGCUUUUCACAUGUAAUUUGUUUUGAAUAUAGUGUUUUUGGCAUUAUUAACAAAACAAAGAGUGAUAAACCCUGAAUCUCGGUUUAAAAAUGGAAAAAUGAUAUUUGAAAUAUUUUUGUUAGCUCAAGCCUUUAAACUGAAAUACUAAAUGUUAUUUAUGUAAUAUGCCUCUAUAUUAAGGAAGAAGACUACUCUGGUUAUCGACUUGUCAAAAGUAAAUUUGGUUACAUGUUCAUUAAAUCAAGAUGAAAGGAAGUUAAAAUAUCAUUUUUUUUCUUUUUUACCGUCUUACAACUUGGCAUAGAAACUAUCAUAUAACAUUUUUUUAGCUUUUUAUAGUGCUUAUUCUAUAAAUAUAUUUAUAUAA